GCUCUUGCAUCACCGCGUCUCCAUGGCAACCGCGUCAGCGACACAGGGAUGCAUUAGUGGAAUUACACAGAUAACUGCUGGAAAAAUGGAAUAUUCUCGAGCUCUGCUGCUGAUGGGCCGGUUGUUUUGUUUUGGCCUUCGUUUGGUGCCACACCUGGAAACAGGCUUCAGAGCCGUUGGCUGUUAAAUGUGUAGGAAGACAAGUAUGUAGGUCAACGUGUGAGCUGACGUCUCACCUACUGAACGGUGGAGUUACGAUCACAGCAAAUGAGCCAAACCUGCAGAGUGGGACUUCAGAUGCUGUGGAGUUAAACUGUGUCUGGAACCAACAGCAGAGCGGGUUCAGCUCCACCUGCCACGUUUAGGAGGUGAGAAAAACGCCUCCACACUAUUUAUCGGCCGUAAACUAGACUGAAUCAGAUGAUGCUCAGAGUCACUCUGCACCAGCGUCAAAUACUGAAGCUGUCAGUGAUAACAGACAAACAAUUCCUGUUUUAAGAGACUGUAAUUAGACAGCGGUGACGUCUGUGAUGUGUCAUUAACGAAGCCGCAGAAUGGAAAAUAAACUAUUACUGGCAUCAGCGCGGUUUAUCUCCACAUGGACAAAAUGAGAGACUCGAUCAGAUCAGUAAUGGACUUCAUCUGGACGCAAAGCUGUUAAAUCUGGCAGCUACGAAUGACACGCAGAGUCCACUGAGACAAGGAGACGACCGGGAAUGAGGGCGAAUGUGGAGACACGCUGAGGUGGAACAUCACAGUUUAAGAAGAUGGAACCUGUUCUUGAUGGGACAACAGCAGGUGUCAGAAAUCAGCUUGUGUCUGGAUCAUCUGUGGGUUGGAGGAAAACCCUGACAGCUCGUCUCACCUGCAGCGGGUCGGAUCCAGUUAACGCUGGUCCGUCUCAGACUGUAACUCCCUGAGCUCGUAAAUCGCUGCUAAGGUGAAGUUCACAGAUGAGCAGCUAACAGCUAACAGCUAACAGCUAACAGCUAACGCUCACACACACGAGGUCUGACUCAAAGAGAAACAAACAGUUCUGUCAGAACAGAACCAGUCAGCAGCAGGGACCCGCUGCCCAAUCUGCAUGAGGAGCCUGAUCUGAAGCCCGAUCAGUCGACGAUCGCAGCAACUGGAAUCGCCUGAAAAAACCCGUGUGGAUGGUGUCAGCUGAUCCACGAAGGUAAAGCCUGGAGGAAAAAGUGGUUUAAGGUAAAACCCUUAGCUCUCACGUGGUCCCAUGAUGAUCAGACGGAAGCUGACGGGAAAGGACUGUGCUUUCCUCAAGUUGCUGCUAAUAAAUAAAGAUAAAUGAAAUGAAGACACGAAUCCUUCACUGAUGCAAAAGCAGAAUUAGUGGAAGAGGUGAAGCUGUCAGAUCUGCUAGACAUUAAAAAUCAACCUUUGACCUGAUGGUGGUUAUUAUUAAAGCGGUUCAAUGAGGCAUCUAACCCUAACGCGUGUGCUAGAUUUUAUAACAACAUAGUUAUUUGCUUUUAUCGCAUGAAUAAUUUGUGUCUCAAUAUUAUGUCUCAUUCUUAAAAUAGAAACUGUAAACAAUAGGAACCACGUGUGCGGUGGGAAGUCGGCCUGUGAGGAACUCAGACUUAUUGAACCCAAAUCAGGAGCCUCAAUCACACGGUUUGUAAUUAAUGCCCCAUUAAACUGGACACAGUCGGUACCAGAUCAGUCCUCACAGCGGGUCCACGUGGGCCGAGCAUGUUAAUGCACCGUGUUAAGGUGCAUUCCCUGCCUCAAUGACAGCAUGUAUGAGAUCUGCUUCCUCUGACAGUCGACCUGCUCAACGAUCACAGUCACAGCGUGAGGCGUUCGCUGGCGUUUGUCUGCAGCGUCCUAUGACCAACACGUGAUCUGGAGAAAACAGGUGUCGCUUCCUGCUGCUUGAAAUCAGUGCAGGUGCCUGCUGGAUUCCUGAAUAUGGUGCAUCUGCUGAGCCGCUGGCAGGAGGAGACCCGUCCCCGUCCCGUCCCUGUCCACGUCUCCGUCCCCGUCUGAGUCUCCGUCCCCGUCCCCCUCUCCGUCUCGGUCCCCGUCUCCUUCUCCGUCUCCGUCCCGUCCACGUCCCCGUCUCUGUCUCCGUCCCCGUCUGAGUCUCCUUCUCCGUCUCCGUCUCCGUCCCCGUCCACGUCCCCGUCCCGUCUCCGUCCCCGUCUCCGUCCCUAUCCCGGUCUCCGUCUCUGUCUCCGUCCCCGUCUCCGUCUCUGUCUCCGUCUCUGUCUCCGUCCCCGUCUGAGUCUCCGACCCCGUCUCUGUCCCCGUCUCUGUCUCCGUCCCC